UUUCUGGAAACUCCUGAAGGUGACUUAAGCCAUGUCACAGGCUUAAGUGGAGCUGAAGCUCAUUGCCUUAUCCUGAGUUUUAGCCACAGUUCUGCUAGAAGACACACAUAAUUGCAGUGAAUGCAACUCUUGUUGACAGCAGUAGGGGAUGAUGAAUAUAAGGUCCUGACUUGAAUUCAUACAUGUCAGGCUCAGUUUGCAGGAGAUCAUCACUGCCCUUGCCUAGGGCUAAAUUCUUCUGUGAUGUAUCUACAUUGACCUCAACAGGAUUACAACCAGGUCUGAAGCUGGCUGUUUCUUUCACAAAGAUCUGUGUCCACGAUGUCAUGCAGCCAGAAGGAACAAGCCAAGAAAGAUUUAUGAAAUUUGAAGUAUAACGUGGAUGAAUUUGGCUCUAUCUCAGCAAAGCAAGGUACAGUGCAAGCUUUGUCUUUCAGGAGUCUUACUGGGGGAAAAGCUCAGUUCGAUGAACUAUCACCGCCAGAGGAGUUAAGAGGACAACCUCUAGGCUGCAAAUAACUGCCAGAAAGAGAGAUGCGAAGUGCUUACGACAGCGCAAAGCCAGACUAUUCCAAGAGCCACUAGGUUUUGCAGGCUACAGGAAACAUUACCAGUGCUGAAUGAAGGGGACUGACUGACUCAUUGUCACCGAGGGAUGCUUUCACACAGAGUUAGCUCUAAGACUGGCCUCAGUGUUCGCAGAGGCAAUGUUUGUGUACAAGUCGCAAGGCAGCACGAGCAGCCUGAGGCAUGGCUGCAUGAGCUGUCACAAGUGCGUGGUGCACGGUGACGUUGUUGAGAGGCAACAAGGGGCUGCUCUCCUCAUUGCAUAGCAUGGACACAACUUCUCUUUUUAGCCUUGCAAAUUCUCCUGCAAUAAGGUCAACUCUCCCGUCCUACAGGCUACUGCAAAACCACUUUACGAGUUAAAAACAACGUAUGAAGUUCCUGCAGAGGGGGAAUUUUGCAACCUCUAUAAAACUCACAGUUAUUGCUAAUAAUUCUUCCAAACCAGACCCAAAGUACAGUUAAGAUCACGGAACCAUCAAGUCAUUAAAAAAAAAGAUCACUCAGAUGUUUGCUGCUGUGGCCGCAUCCUUUUCUAACAGUCCAUACAAUCCCAUUUGAGCCACCAUCUCUUUCUGGGCUUUGCAGGACAGAGAGAAAGUUACCAAACAUGAGUGGGAAAACAAUAACACAUUAUUAGGAUGAAGGCUUUUUAGCUGAUUGAGAGGUUUACUGGAUAGGGUGAGGUU
rnacentral:lncRNA from 7 species